UCCGUGCCAGCAGCCGCGGUAAUACGGAGGGUCCGAGCGUUAUCCGGAAUCAUUGGGUUUAAAGGGUCCGUAGGCGGGCCUGUAAGUCAGGGGUGAAAGUUUGUGGCUCAACCAUAAAAUUGCCUUUGAUACUGCAGGUCUUGAGUCAUGGUGGGGUUGCCGGAACAUGUGGUGUAGCGGUGAAAUGCAUAGAUAUCACAUAGAACACCGAUCGCGAAGGCAGGUGACCAACCAUGUACUGACGCUGAUGGACGAAAGCGUGGGUAGCGAACGGGAUUAGAUACCCCGGUAGUCCACGCCGUAAACGAUGGAUACUAGCUGUGGGGACUUCGGUCUCCGUGGCCAAGCGAAAGUGAUAAGUAUCCCACCUGGGGAGUACGUUCGCAAGAAUGAAACUCAAAGGAAUUGACGGGGGCCCGCACAAGCGGUGGAGCAUGUGGUUUAAUUCGAUGAUACGCGAGGAACCUUACCAGGGCUUAAAUGCAGGCUGCAUGGGGUAGAGAUACCCCUUUCUUCGGACCGCCUGCAAGGUGCUGCAUGGUUGUCGUCAGCUCGUGCCGUGAGGUGUCAGGUUAAGUCCUAUAACGAGCGCAACCCCUACCGUUAGUUGCCAGCAUGUCAAGAUGGGGACUCUAACGGGACUGCCGGUGCAAACCGUGAGGAAGGUGGGGACGACGUCAAAUCAUCACGGCCCUUACGUCCUGGGCUACACACGUGCUACAAUGGCCGGUACAGAGGGAAGCCACCCCGCAAGGGGGCGCGGAUCUACAAAACCGGUCACAGUUCGGAUCGGGGUCUGCAACUCGACCCCGUGAAGCUGGAAUCGCUAGUAAUCGGAUAUCAGCCAUGAUCCGGUGAAUACGUUCCCGGGCCUUGUACACACCGCCCGUCAAGCC
rnacentral:rRNA from 1 species